AUUGAACGCUGGCGGCAGGCCUAACACAUGCAAGUCGAGCGGAGCGGCGGACGGGUGAGUAAUGCUUAGGAAUCUGCCUGGUGGUGGGGGAUAACGUCCGGAAACGGGCGCUAAUACCGCAUACUAUCAGAUGAGCCUAGGUCGGAUUAGAGAGGUGGUGGGGUAAAGGCCUACCAAGGCGGCGAUCCGUAACGGGUCUGAGGGGAUGAUCAGUCACACUGGAACUGAGACACGGUCAAGACUCCUACGGGAGGCAGCAGUGGGGAAUAUUCGACAAUGGGCGAAAGCCUGAUCCAGCCAUGCCGCGUGUGUGAAGAAGGUCUUCGGAUGGUAAAGCACUUUAAGUUGGAAGACGUUACCAGCAGAAUAAGCACCGGCUAACUUCGUGCCAGCAGCCGCGGUAAUUC
rnacentral:rRNA from 1 species